rfam:TPA: Bos taurus chromosome 4, whole genome shotgun sequence.
UCCCUGGUGGUCCAGUGGCUGAGACUCUGUGUUCUCAAUGCAGGGGGCCCGGGUUCCAUCCCUGGUCAGGGAA